CACGUAGUUAGCCGUGGCUUCCUCCUCAGGUACCGUCAUUAUCGUCCCUGAAGACAGAGCUUUACAACCCGAAGGCCGUCAUCACUCACGCGGCGUUGCUGCAUCAGGGUUUCCCCCAUUGUGCAAUAGUCCCCACUGCUGCCUCCCGUAGGAGUCUGGGCCGUGUCUCAGUCCCAAUGUGGCCGAUCACCCUCUCAGGUCGGCUACGCAUCGUCGCCUUGGUGAGCCGUUACCUCACCAACUAGCUAAUGCGCCGCGGGCCCAUCUCAUAGCGGAUUGCUCCUUUAAUUGCUACUUCAUGCGAAGCUACAAUCUUAUGCGGUAUUAAUCUCCCUUUCGGAAGGCUAUUCCCCUCUAUGAGGCAGGUUGCCCACGUGUUACUCACCCGUCCGCCGCUAGCUUUGUUCCGAAGACUCCACUCGCUCGACUUGCAUGUGUUAGGCACGCCGCCAGCGUUGUC
rnacentral:rRNA from 1 species